UACGAAGGGGGCUAGCGUUGUUCGGAAUUACUGGGCGUAAAGGGCGCGUAGGCGGCGCAUUAAGUCAGGUGUGAAAGCCCUGGGCUCAACCCAGGAAUAGCACUUGAUACUGAUGUGCUUGAAUUCGGGAGAGGAUGACGGAAUUCCCAGUGUAGAGGUGAAAUUCAUUGAUAUUGGGAAGAACACCAGUGGCGAAGGCGGUCAUCUGGCCCGUAAUUGACGCUGAGGCGCGAAAGCGUGGGGAGCAAACAGG
rnacentral:ncRNA from 2 species